CAGCAGAGUUACAUUAAUCGUUUCUUUAAGUUAAUAUAAUAAAGUCAGGUAUUCAACGGGUUCCGUUAGCCGAAAGAAGAUGAGGAAAUGUUUUGUGCUAAUAAAAAUCCUGCAAAGGGUUAAACACAGCUGUAAAAGGAGCGUGGACAAAGUUUUAAGGAUGGCGAUGAUUAAUGUAAAAUGCCAAUAACGUAACAUAAAACUAGGCCUACUAACAAUAAUUGUCCUUUAACAGAAAUUCUAAAUAACACUAUUUAAUUAAAAUGAA